rnacentral:rRNA from 1 species
AUUGAACGCUGGCGGCGUGCUUAACACAUGCAAGUCGAGCGGUAAGGCCCUUUCGGGGGGUACACGAGCGGCGAACGGGUGAGUAACACGUGGGUGACCUGCCCUCAGCUCUGGGAUAAGCCUGGGAAACCGGGUCUAAUACUGGAUAUGACUCCAUGACGCAUGUUGUGGGGUGGAAAGCCUUGUGCGGCUGAGGAUGGGCCCGCGGCCUAUCAGCUUGUUGGUGGGGGAUGGCCUACCAAGGCGACGACGGGUAGCCGGCCUGAGAGGGCGACCGGCCACACUGGGACUGAGACACGGCCCAGACUCCUACGGGAGGCAGCAGUGGGGAAUCUUGCGCAAUGGGCGAAAG